UCAUGCAGGGGGGGUUUAUAUAUAUGGGGUUUUUCCCGUCAGGACGAACGCUGGCGGCGUGCCUAAUACAUGCAAGUCGAGCGGACAGAUGGGAGCUUGCUCCCUGAUGUUAGCGGCGGACGGGUGAGUAACACGUGGGUAACCUGCCUGUAAGACUGGGAUAACUCCGGGAAACCGGGGCUAAUACCGGAUGGUUGUUUGAACCGCAUGGUUCAAACAUAAAAGGUGGCUUCGGCUACCACUUACAGAUGGACCCGCGGCGCAUUAGCUAGUUGGUGAGGUAACGGCUCACCAAGGCAACGAUGCGUAGCCGACCUGAGAGGGUGAUCGGCCACACUGGGACUGAGACACGGCCCAGACUCCUACGGGAGGCAGCAGUAGGGAAUCUUCCGCAAUGGACGAAAGUCUGACGGAGCAACGCCGCGUGAGUGAUGAAGGUUUUCGGAUCGUAAAGCUCUGUUGUUAGGGAAGAACAAGUACCGUUCGAAUAGGGCGGUACCUUGACGGUACCUAACCAGAAAGCCACGGCUAACUACGUGCCAGCAGCCGCGGUAAUACGUAGGUGGCAAGCGUUGUCCGGAAUUAUUGGGCGUAAAGGGCUCGCAGGCGGUUUCUUAAGUCUGAUGUGAAAGCCCCCGGCUCAACCGGGGAGGGUCAUUGGAAACUGGGGAACUUGAGUGCAGAAGAGGAGAGUGGAAUUCCACGUGUAGCGGUGAAAUGCGUAGAGAUGUGGAGGAACACCAGUGGCGAAGGCGACUCUCUGGUCUGUAACUGACGCUGAGAGCGAAAAGACGCC
rnacentral:rRNA from 1 species